GGUUAAGCGACUAAGCGUACACGGUGGAUGCCCCUGGCAGUCAGAGGCGAUGAAGGACGUGCUAAUCUGCGAUAAGCGUCGGUAAGGUGAUAUGAACCGUUAUAACCGGCGAUUUCCGAAUGGGGAAACCCAGUGUGAUUCGUCACACUAUCAUUAACUGAAUCCAUAGGUUAAUGAGGCGAACCGGGGGAACUGAAACAUCUAAGUACCCCGAGGAAAAGAAAUCAACCGAGAUUCCCCCAGUAGCGGCGAGCGAACGGGGAGCAGCCCAGAGCCUGAAUCAGUGUGUGUGUUAGUGGAAGCGUCUGGAAAGGCGUGCGAUACAGGGUGACAGCCCCGUACACAAAAAUGCACAUACUGUGAGCUCGAUGAGUAGGGCGGGACACGUGGUAUCCUGUCUGAAUAUGGGGGGACCAUCCUCCAAGGCUAAAUACUCCUGACUGACCGAUAGUGAACCAGUACCGUGAGGGAAAGGCGAAAAGAACCCCGGCGAGGGGAGUGAAAAAGAACCUGAAACCGUGUACGUACAAGCAGUGGGAGCACGCUUAGGCGUGUGACUGCGUACCUUUUGUAUAAUGGGUCAGCGACUUAUAUUCUGUAGCAAGGUUAACCGAAUAGGGGAGCCGAAGGGAAACCGAGUCUUAACUGGGCGUUAAGUUGCAGGGUAUAGACCCGAAACCCGGUGAUCUAGCCAUGGGCAGGUUGAAGGUUGGGUAACACUAACUGGAGGACCGAACCGACUAAUGUUGAAAAAUUAGCGGAUGACUUGUGGCUGGGGGUGAAAGGCCAAUCAAACCGGGAGAUAGCUGGUUCUCCCCGAAAGCUAUUUAGGUAGCGCCUCGUGAAUUCAUCUCCGGGGUAGAGCACUGUUUCGGCAAGGGGUCAUCCCGACUUACCAACCCGAUGCAAACUGCGAAUACCGGAGAAUGUUAUCACGGGAGACACACGGCGGGUGCUAACGUCCGUCGUGAAGAGGGAAACAACCCAGACCGCCAGCUAAGGUCCCAAAGUCAUGGUUAAGUGGGAAACGAUGUGGGAAGGCCCAGACAGCCAGGAUGUUGGCUUAGAAGCAGCCAUCAUUUAAAGAAAGCGUAAUAGCUCACUGGUCGAGUCGGCCUGCGCGGAAGAUGUAACGGGGCUAAACCAUGCACCGAAGCUGCGGCAGCGACGCUUAUGCGUUGUUGGGUAGGGGAGCGUUCUGUAAGCCUGUGAAGGUGUGCUGUGAGGUAUGCUGGAGGUAUCAGAAGUGCGAAUGCUGACAUAAGUAACGAUAAAGCGGGUGAAAAGCCCGCUCGCCGGAAGACCAAGGGUUCCUGUCCAACGUUAAUCGGGGCAGGGUGAGUCGACCCCUAAGGCGAGGCCGAAAGGCGUAGUCGAUGGGAAACAGGUUAAUAUUCCUGUACUUGGUGUUACUGCGAAGGGGGACGGAGAAGGCUAUGUUGGCCGGGCGACGGUUGUCCCGGUUUAAGCGUGUAGGCUGGUUUUCCAGGCAAAUCCGGAAAAUCAAGGCCGAGGCGUGAUGACGAGGCACUACGGUGCUGAAGCAACAAAUGCCCUGCUUCCAGGAAAAGCCUCUAAGCAUCAGGUAACAUCAAAUCGUACCCCAAACCGACACAGGUGGUCAGGUAGAGAAUACCAAGGCGCUUGAGAGAACUCGGGUGAAGGAACUAGGCAAAAUGGUGCCGUAACUUCGGGAGAAGGCACGCUGAUACGUAGGUGAAGCGACUUGCUCGUGGAGCUGAAAUCAGUCGAAGAUACCAGCUGGCUGCAACUGUUUAUUAAAAACACAGCACUGUGCAAACACGAAAGUGGACGUAUACGGUGUGACGCCUGCCCGGUGCCGGAAGGUUAAUUGAUGGGGUUAGCGCAAGCGAAGCUCUUGAUCGAAGCCCCGGUAAACGGCGGCCGUAACUAUAACGGUCCUAAGGUAGCGAAAUUCCUUGUCGGGUAAGUUCCGACCUGCACGAAUGGCGUAAUGAUGGCCAGGCUGUCUCCACCCGAGACUCAGUGAAAUUGAACUCGCUGUGAAGAUGCAGUGUACCCGCGGCAAGACGGAAAGACCCCGUGAACCUUUACUAUAGCUUGACACUGAACAUUGAGCCUUGAUGUGUAGGAUAGGUGGGAGGCUUUGAAGUGUGGACGCCAGUCUGCAUGGAGCCGACCUUGAAAUACCACCCUUUAAUGUUUGAUGUUCUAACGUGGACCCGUGAUCCGGGUUGCGGACAGUGUCUGGUGGGUAGUUUGACUGGGGCGGUCUCCUCCUAAAGAGUAACGGAGGAGCACGAAGGUUGGCUAAUCCUGGUCGGACAUCAGGAGGUUAGUGCAAUGGCAUAAGCCAGCUUGACUGCGAGCGUGACGGCGCGAGCAGGUGCGAAAGCAGGUCAUAGUGAUCCGGUGGUUCUGAAUGGAAGGGCCAUCGCUCAACGGAUAAAAGGUACUCCGGGGAUAACAGGCUGAUACCGCCCAAGAGUUCAUAUCGACGGCGGUGUUUGGCACCUCGAUGUCGGCUCAUCACAUCCUGGGGCUGAAGUAGGUCCCAAGGGUAUGGCUGUUCGCCAUUUAAAGUGGUACGCGAGCUGGGUUUAGAACGUCGUGAGACAGUUCGGUCCCUAUCUGCCGUGGGCGCUGGAGAACUGAGGGGGCUGCUCCUAGUACGAGAGGACCGGAGUGGACGCAUCACUGGUGUUCGGGUUGUCAUGCCAAUGGCACUGCCCGGUAGCUAAAUGCGGAAGAGAUAAGUGCUGAAAGCAUCUAAGCACGAAACUUGCCCCGAGAUGAGUUCUCCCUGACCCUUUAAGGGUCCUGAAGGAACGUUGAAGACGACGACGUUGAUAGGCCGGGUGUGUAAGCGCAGCGAUGCGUUGAGCUAACCGGUACUAAUGAACCGUGAGGCUUAACCUU
rnacentral:rRNA from 1 species